UACGAAGGGUGCAAGCGUUACUCGGAAUUACUGGGCGUAAAGCGUGCGUAGGUGGUGAGUUAAGUCUGAUGUGAAAUCCCCGGGCUCAACCUGGGAAUGGCAUUGGAUACUGGCUCGCUAGAGUGCGGUAGAGGGUGGUGGAAUUCCCGGUGUAGCAGUGAAAUGCGUAGAGAUCGGGAGGAACAUCUGUGGCGAAAGCGGCGCACUGGACCACAACUGACGCUGAGGCGCGAAAGCUAGGGGAGCAAACAGG
rnacentral:rRNA from 1 species